CGAGAAACGCGACACAGCGACGACUAACAAGAGAAAUAUUUUUAUUUCCUGCUUGCAACUGGACCGUCUAGAGCGUACACGGUUCAACGUUGUUUGCUGUAUGUUUUCCACUGUAAGAAGAAGAAGAAUGUAAGAGGAAUGACUAUACAAAUCAAUUGGAGGCUUGCUUCAUUGAUCACAACCGUUCCACGGUGUUCGUUGCCAGUAUGUUUGAAGGAUACAAAGUACAACGUUUGCACGUUGGCGAAGACGUCUCCGGUUCCACAGUGUUCGUUGCCUGUAUGUUUGAAGGAUACAAAUACAAAGUACAACGUUUGCACGUUGGCGAACACGUCUCCGGUGAGUCCUUCCUUCCUUUUUUAUUCACGGAAAAGACAACAAUAGCUAAAGUAACACAUUGUUAGAGAUACCUACAAUUGUCUUAAAUUGGAUAGAUUACUUGUUCACACACCUUUUCAAACAAGUAAACUGGGCAUUCUGUGCAGGAGAUUUUCUGUUUAUACCUAGUAUUAACACAGUCAUCAUUUUCUUGUUUUUAUAUUAUGUCGUUUACUUGUUUGUCUAUAGCAGGCAUGUCAAACAUACGGCCCGCGGGCCGGACCCGGCCCGUUGGAUGAUUUGAUCCGGCCCGUCAUAAAUUUCUGAGUAUGUCAAAAAAAGAAGCGAGUCACUAGCUCAUUUCUAUCAAAAGUUAUGAUUCUUUAAAAUAAAUACAACUCAAAUGUUCCCUCCGGCCGCUAGAGGGCAGUAAAUGUGUAAAAGAGCUCACGUCCACCAUGCGGCACUGACACGAGUUAGUACCAGGAAAUAAACAUUCGCAACGUGAUGUGUCCAACUAGAAAUAAACCGGCAAGCUUGCUUCACCAUGCACUUCUCAUGUCUCACAGCUGUGCGUCCGAAGGCACCGGAUCGUCCCGAUUUGGAUAAAUAUAAAGACAACAUAACAGAUUUGCUGCGAGAGUUUGAGCGGAGGUUUCAGGUUUUCAGUGAACUUGAGAACAAGUUCGGCUUUUUUCGCUCGCCAUUUACAGUGAAGCCUUCUGGUGUGCCAGCUGACAUUCAGUUCGAGCUUAUUGACUUGCAGUGCGAUUCCGCUAUGAAGGAUACAUUUGGGUCCGUGGGAUUGGAUACGUUUUAUCAGUAUCUUGUGCCAGGUUACCCCAAAUUAACAGCCAUGGCUGCAAAGGUUCUCUCCAUGUUUGAGACUACUUAUCUUUGUGAACAGGUGUUCUCCGUGAUGAACAAUAAUAAAACAAAGCAGCGCUCAAAGUUAACAAAUGAACACUUGAAUGACAUUGUUAAAUGUGCUGCUACUCAGGAUUUGACACCUGAUAUUGACGCACUUGUAAAAGCAAAAAAUGCCAAGUUUCAGGAGCCAGCAGCAGCAAGUAGACUGCAGGAGUGCAGUGAGAGAGAGAAAAAAGUGUGAUGACACGACAUUUGUUUGCACGCAUGAAUACAGAUCAUUAAAAAUAAGAUUAAUAUGGUUUCAUAUUAAAGACAAUUAAUAUUGUGCAGUAUAUUCUCAGCUUCAUUAGGCCCAGCCUAGUAGUUUGAGCUGAUGUAGUCUAAUCUUAUUGCCCAUGCACUGCUAAAACCUUUAUUUUGUCAUUUUAUUUAUUAUUAUUUCAAAGCAGUAUGACAAUUAAGGCAAAACAUUUUUUUUUCUUAGCUCCCACUUGAGUUUGUUUAGUGUGGUGAGUUGGUUCAGGUGUAAAACUGCAUUCACUCAACUGUUAAAAUAAACCAGUUGUUAACACAUUCACUGCCAAACAUGAAAAUCAUUUUUUUCUCCAUUGUUUGUGAAUAAAUGUGUUAUGCUUAGAAAAGAUCCCUUGUCAUCCGUGAUUAUAAUAUGUAGGGUAGGUUACAAAUGUAGGCUGAAUGAUAAAGCAUAGUACUGAAAAACAAAGCUAAAUAGUUGGAGUUGACAUUCUUUUACUGAUCCGGCCCACCUGAGAAAAGAAACUCUGGAUCCGGCCCCAGAGCCAAACUAAGUUUGACAUGCCUGGUCUAUAGUGUAAUAUGUCU